ACCACAUUAAAUAAAGAUUAAACCAAAAAUUAGAAAAAAAUAAAAAGUGAAAAGGGCUUCUCUUUCUAGCCAGCAGUUGGACGGUCGGCACACUGGUGGCACCACCACCCCCUCCUCGCCAAUGACUAACCACUAUUGCUCACAGCAACCGUCACCCCAUCAUUUCCCGCCCAAAUCCACAAUUUUGCUCGUAAACUGCCACCACCACAGUCGAACGAUUGACACAGUCACCACCAUCACACACAACAGCUGCUUAUAAACCACCACCACCACGAUCAAACCAAAACCAACCACCAAAAUUAAACCAAAACCAACCACCAAAAAUUAUUUUCGCUGCUAUACCACCCAACGUAAUUUUACGAGACUGAUAUUCCAUGCCGGGUAUGUGUUGUGAGGUGAAUAUUAGUGAGACAGAGAUGACUGCACCUGGAGAGCGGAGUUCAAAAUUCGGUAGAAGGAGAACAAAAAUUCACCCGUUCAAGUUUUUAUGCUCUGAUUCCUCGAUAGAUUCGUCCCUAGAGAACGGUAAAAAGAAGAGGCAGAAGAUACAAGUGACUGAUCUGGUUUCACCUCCUCGUGAGCUUCACUAUGCCUUUCGGCUCGCACUUCUUGGUCUCUAGAGUCGGCUUCGACGCAGCUGCUAAAGUCAUCGUGUGGUGGUGGUCGACGAUGGCCGGAAGUGGCAGGUUUAGUUUGGGGGUACGUGAUGGGGAGGUGGAAGAGAUUUUUU
rnacentral:lncRNA from 1 species